GAUCAUGGCUCAGAGUGAACGCUGGCGGCGUGCUUAACACAUGCAAGUCGAACGAGAACGGGUUAUAGCUUGCUAUAAUUGUCAGCUAAGUGGCGCACGGGUGAGUAAUGUAUAGGUAAUAUGCCUCUUACUAAGGGAUAACAAUUGGAAACGAUUGCUAAUACCUUAUACUCCUUGUUAACAGAAGUUAAUAAGGGAAAGAUUUAUUGGUAAGAGAUUAGCCUGUAUUGUAUCAGUUAGUUGGUGGGGUAAUGGCUUACCAAGACUAUGACACAUAACUGGUUUGAGAGGAUGAUCAGUCACACUGGAACUGAGACACGGUCCAGACUCCUACGGGAGGCAGCAGUGGGAAUAUUGCACAAUGGACGAAAGUCUGAUGCAGCAACGCCGCGUGGAGGAUGACACAUUUCGGUGCGUAAACUCCUUUUAUAUGAGAAGAUAAUGACGGUAUUAUAUGAAUAAGCACCGGCUAACUCCGUG
rnacentral:rRNA from 1 species